UGAUCGGAGCACCCCUACUUUUUAUUUAUUAUAUAGGAUGCAAGCCAGGCCCUUGUUGGUGACUACUCCCCCUCUGCCACCUCCAGUCUUCAAGAUCUCCACCCGGAACCACUUCGCUCCCCUCCGCGAGACGGAAUGCGACACUGUGUUCAUCCAAGACUCCAUCGUCCAAGACGUCCGUGCUGCAUUAGCCUAAGUUAAAUUGAUGAGGACACAGAAGGGACAGAUGAGACACACGUGAUUAUCUGAUGAAGAGAGACUGAUGAAGGAAUGAUGCCAUCAAAGUCUCUCAUACAUUUGAUGCAGAUCUGUUGUGUUGACAGCAGCAUCUGUGGAAAAAAACCUGAAACCAAAAUAUUAAGACCUCAAUCCCUCUGGAGCACCUGGAGUAAAGACACAUGGUGGAGAUUGAUCCAGCAACCUUCUGCUGACCAGUCCACUUCAUUACACCAUAGAAGUAAUGAAGCUAUAAAGUGAAGUGAAAGUGACAUACAGCGAAGUAUGGUGACCCAUACUCAGAAUUUGUGCUUUGCUUUUAACCCAU